GAGAUUCCCCCAGUAGCGGCGAGCGAACGGGGAGGAGCCCAGAGCCUGAAUCAGCAUGUGUGUUAGUGGAAGCGUCUGGAAAGGCGCGCGAUACAGGGUGACAGCCCCGUACACAAAAGCGCAUGUGUUGUGAGCUCGAUGAGUAGGGCGGGACACGUGGUAUCCUGUCUGAAUAUGGGGGGACCAUCCUCCAAGGCUAAAUACUCCUGACUGACCGAUAGUGAACCAGUACCGUGAGGGAAAGGCGAAAAGAACCCCGGCGAGGGGAGUGAAAAAGAACCUGAAACCGUGUACGUACAAGCAGUGGGAGCCCCACCACUAAGCCAGUGGUGAACUCCACAUACGCAUCCUUUGCUGAGGAUACGGUUAACGGAGCGAAAGCGACGUUCAACCGCAAAAGAAGCAGAGGGGGCUUAGUGGUGGGGUGACUGCGUACCUUUUGUAUAAUGGGUCAGCGACUUAUAUUCUGUAGCAAGGUUAACCGUAUAGGGGAGCCGUAGGGAAACCGAGUCUUAACCGGGCGUUAAGUUGCAGGGUAUAGACCCGAAACCCGGUGAUCUAGCCAUGGGCAGGUUGAAGGUUGGGUAACACUAACUGGAGGACCGAACCGACUAAUGUUGAAAAAUUAGCGGAUGACCUGUGGCUGGGGGUGAAAGGCCAAUCAAACCGGGAGAUAGCUGGUUCUCCCCGAAAGCUAUUUAGGUAGCGCCUCGUGAAUUCAUCUCCGGGGGUAGAGCACUGUUUCGGCUAGGGGGCCAUCCCGGCUUACCAACCCGAUGCAAACUGCGAAUACCGGAGAAUGUUAUCACGGGAGACACACGGCGGGUGCUAACGUCCGUCGUGAAGAGGGAAACAACCCAGACCGCCAGCUAAGGUCCCAAAGUCAUGGUUAAGUGGGAAACGAUGUGGGAAGGCCCAUACAGCCAGGAUGUUGGCUUAGAAGCAGCCAUCAUUUAAAGAAAGCGUAAUAGCUCACUGGUCGAGUCGGCCUGCGCGGAAGAUGUAACGGGGCUAAACCAUGCACCGAAGCUGCGGCAGCGA
rnacentral:rRNA from 1 species